rnacentral:rRNA from 1 species
UACGUAGGGUGCGAGCGUUAAUCGGAAUUACUGGGCGUAAAGCGUGCGCAGGCGGUUCGUUGUGUCGGCGGUGAAAGCCCCGGGCUUAACCUGGGAAUGGCCGUUGAGACUGGCGAACUGGAGUGUGGCAGAGGGGGGUGGAAUUCCGCGUGUAGCAGUGAAAUGCGUAGAGAUGCGGAGGAACACCGAUGGCGAAGGCAGCCCCCUGGGCUGACACUGACGCUCAGGCACGAAAGCGUGGGGAGCAAACAGG